rnacentral:rRNA from 1 species
AUGGAGAAGGCAAUCCUGAACAUGCUUGAGUGGAACUUGACAGUGCCCACACCUUACGUCUUCCUUGUCCGAUUCGCCAAGGCCGCGUCCUCCUGA